rnacentral:rRNA from 1 species
CUACGGGGUGCUCCAGUCGAGAAUCUUCCGCAAUGGACGAAAGUCUGACGGAGCGACGCCGCGUGCGGGAUGAAGGCCUUCGGGUUGUAAACCGCUGUCAGUGGGGAGGAAAUGCAUCAGGGUUCUCCCUGGUGUUUGACCGAUCCGCAGAGGAAGCGCAGGCUAAGUUCGUGGCCAGCAGCCGCGGUAACACGAACUGCGCGAACGUUAUUCGGAAUCACUGGGCUUAAAGAGUUCGUAGGCGGCCUUUCAAGUCGGGUGUGAAAGCCCUCGGCUCAACCGAGGAAUUGCGCCUGAUACUGUUGGGCUUGAGGGGGAUAGGGGUGAGCGGAACUGAUGGUGGAGCGGUGAAAUGCGUUGAUAUCAUCAGGAACACCGGUGGCGAAGGCGGCUCACUGGAUCUCUUCUGACGCUGAGGAACGAAAGCUAGGGGAGCGAACGGGAUUAGAUACCCGUGUAGUC